CCAGAUAUGGGCCUUCACAUACACCCAGCAGAUCCUCCAGGAGGAGCUGUGCCUGUCUGUCAUCACCAUGUUCCCGGGUGCCCCGGUGGUUCUUGUCCUCUGCAAGAACGGAGAUGACAAACAGCAAUGGACCAAGACUGGUUCCCGCAUCGAGCACAUAGCCUCCCACCUCUGCCUAGACACCGACAUGUUUGGUGAUGGCUCUGAGAAUGGCAGGGAAAUCGUGGUCAACCCGUGUGAGUCAUCACUUAUGAGCCAGCACUGGGACCUGGUGAGCUCUUGAGGACCCGAGCCAGAAUCAGCGGGACUGUGGGUGACGUUUCCCCGGAUGACAAGCAGACUGGAAAUCAGGCUACGAGCAGCCCACAGCUACUGCAGAUGCUCUGAACUGGGAGGUGGAGGGAGAACCGCCCCCGGACAGGAGCAGAUGUCUCAGGGAGUCUGGGGGAAGGGAUUGUAAGCCAAGUGGGGCUCGGAGACAGAUCCCACGUGUUCUCCAUGCUGUUCCAUUCCAGUCCUGGCCCGGUCUGCCCCUCCCUGGAAUCUGGGGAGAGAGCUCUCACAGGAAGUGUUUAUGUUGUUCCCUUUCUUACAGAGGAGGCCAGAGAGAAAAGCUUUUUUGUCACAAGGCCAGGACUAAAUUGAGAGAGAAAGAAUGGAGGUUGUUUUCAAAACAAAUAAAGGAACCUUAGAAGUUU